UCACCCCUCAAGCCCCGUGCUUGGUGUUGGACGGCUUGGUCGCGGUGCACACUGCGACCCCUCCCAAAGACAAUGACGGCGGCCUGUGGCUCCCCCGGCACACUGAGCUUCUCACCGAGCACGUGUCGGAUCGCGGGCGUCCAGGUCCCGGUCGGCUCCCCCACCACAGGGAAAUUUUAUCAA
rnacentral:misc_RNA from 2 species